AUUGAACGCUGGCGGCAGGCCUAACACAUGCAAGUCGAGCGGAUGACGGGAGCUUGCUCCUGGAUUCAGCGGCGGACGGGUGAGUAAUGCCUAGGAAUCUGCCUGGUAGUGGGGGACAACGUUUCGAAAGGAACGCUAAUACCGCAUACGUCCUACGGGAGAAAGCAGGGGACCUUCGGGCCUUGCCCUAUCAGAUGAGCCUAGGUCGGAUUAGCUUGUUGGUGAGGUAAUGGCUCACCAAGGCGACGAUCCGUAACUGGUCUGAGAGGAUGAUCAGUCACACUGGAACUGAGACACGGUCCAGACUCCUACGGGAGGCAGCAGUGGGGAAUAUUGGACAAUGGGCGAAAGCCUGAUCCAGCCAUGCCGCGUGUGUGAAGAAGGUCCUCGGAUUGUAAAGCACUUUAAGUUGGGAGGAAGGGUUGUAGAUUAAUACUCUGCAAUUUUGACGUUACCGACAGAAUGAGCACCGGCUAACUCUGUGCCAGCAGCCGCUGUAA
rnacentral:rRNA from 1 species